rnacentral:rRNA from 1 species
AGGGUUUGAUCAUGGCUCAGAACGUACGCUGGCGGCACGCCUAACACAUGCAAGUCGAACGCAGUAGCAAUACUGAGUGGCAGACGGGUGAGUAACAUGUGGGAAUCUGCCUUGUGGUUCAGGACAACAUUAGGAAACUGAUGCUAAUACUGGAUAAGCCCUUACGGGGAAAGUUUUAAUGCCAUAAGAUGAGCCCGCAUUUGAUUAGUUAGUUGGUGAGGUAAUGGCUCACCAAGACAAUGAUCAAUAGCUGAUCUGAGAGGAUGAUCAGCCACACUGGGACUGAGACACGGCCCAGACUCCUACGGGAGGCAGCAGUGGGGAAUCUUGCACAAUGGAGGAAACUCUGAUGCAGCGAUGCCGCGUGAGUGAAGAAGGCCUUUGGGUUGUAAAGCUCUUUUGUAGGGGAAGAUAAUGACUGUACCCUAAGAAUAAGGUCCGGCUAACUUCGUGCCAGCAGCCGCGGUAAUACGAAGGGACCUAGCGUAGUUCGGAAUUACUGGGCGUAAAGCGCGCGUAGGCCGUUGAGUUAGUUAAUUGUGAAAUCCCAAAGCUUAACUUUGGAACUGCAAUUAAAACUGUUCGACUAGAGUUUGAUAGAGGAAAGCGGAAUACAUAGUGUAGAGGUGAAAUUCGUAGAUAUUAUGUAGAACACCAGUUGCGAAGGCGGCUUUCUGGGUCAACACUGACGCUGAGGCGCGAAAGUAUGGGUAGCAAAGAGGAUUAGAUACCCUCGUAGUCCAUACCAUAAACGAUGAUUGCUAGAUGUUGGAAAUUUAUUUUCAGUAUCGCAGCUAACGCAUUAAGCAAUCCGCCUGGGGAGUACGACCGCAAGGUUAAAACUCAAAUGAAUUGACGGGGACCCGCACAAGCGGUGGAGCAUGUGGUUUAAUUCGAAGAUACGCGCAGAACCUUACCAACCCUUGACAUGUCUGUCGCGAGUUUAGGAAACUAGACUUUUCGGUUCGGCCGGACAGAACACAGGUGCUGCAUGGCUGUCGUCAGCUCGUGUCGUGAGAUGUUGGGUUAAGUCCCGCAACGAGCGCAACCCCUACUUUUAGUUGCCAUCAGGUAAUGCUGGGCACUCUGAAAGAACUGCCAGUGAUAAGCUGGAGGAAGGUGGGGAUGACGUCAAGUCCUCAUGGCCCUUAUGGCCAGGGCUUCACACGUAAUACAAUGGUCGGUACAGAGGGUUGCCAACCCGCGAGGGGGAGCCAAUCCCAGAAAGCCGAUCGUAGUCCGGAUUGUAGUCUGCAACUCGACUGCAUGAAGUCGGAAUCGCUAGUAAUCGCGGAUCAGCAUGUCGCGGUGAAUACGUUCCCGGGCCUUGUACACACCGCCCGUCACACCAUGGGAGUGGGUUUUACCAGAAGUAGUUAGUCUAACCGUAAGGGAGACGAUUACCACGGUAGGAUUCAUGACUGGGGUGAAGUCGUAACAAGGUAACCGUA